AGCGCAGGUGGUUUAUUAAGUCUGGUGUAAAAGGCAGUGGCUCAACCAUUGUAUGCAUUGGAAACUGGUAGACUUGAGUGCAGGAGAGGAGAGUGGAAUUCCAUGUGUAGCGGUGAAAUGCGUAGAUAUAUGGAGGAACACCGGUGGCGAAGGCGACCUACUGGCCGUUACUGACGCUGAGGAGCGAAAGCGUGGGAGCGAACA
rnacentral:rRNA from 1 species